rnacentral:rRNA from 1 species
CCCUUAGAUGUUCUGGGCUGCACGCGCGCUACACUGACAUACUCAGCAAGUUUCCUUGCCUGAAAGGGUUGGGUAAUCUUGUUAGUGUAUGUCGUGAUGGGGAUAGAAUAUUGUAAUUAUUGCUCUUUAACGAGGAAUUCCUAGUAAGCGCAAGUCAUCAGCUUGCGUUGAUUACGUCCCUGCCCUUUGUACACACCGCCCGUCGCUCCUACCGAUUGGGUGAUCCGGUGAAUGAUUCGGACUCUGGCUAUGCUAGCUACUAGCUACGUCAGGGAAAGUGUUGUGAACCUUAUCACUUGGAGGAAGGAGAAGUCGUAACA